ACGUUGGUGGGCUGCUGCUAUUGCUGCUGGAGUGAAAAUUGUUUGACAGGGAGGUGAGGCGACCUGUGCACGGGGGACUCGCAGAAGAAGUUAGUUUUUACCGUGGCGUUAGCCAGCUUUUUGAGUCAGCGGGAAGGCGAGACUCGGGGGCGACAAAUGGUUCCUUCGCGUGUAAGCAACAGGGCUCAGAGCGAAAUGUCAGGCACUGUUUCAGCCUUGAGCAGCGGGAAGCGCGACUAGUACACCGCAACGCGGAAAAUAUUCAGAGGGGAGAGAGAAUGCGAAUGGUGCGAAGAUACCGAAAUCAAACAAAAUGGAAACGAUGUAGCGUCGCUGCGGCAUUUCAUAUAGCUAGAACUAACGUUAGAGUAGAGAAUAGAUAGCCAAGGAGCUAGCACGUUUACUAACAUACAUGUAAAGUUAUUCACCAGAGAAACUGAAGCAGAGCCCGGAGGCGUCUGUUGAAUCAGAAGAGUUCAUCAGCAUUGUGAAAUUAAAGGAAAAAAAGAUGCUACGGAGAAGACUGAACCGUUGGUUUGGUGGUGAGGACAGAAGAGUAGGCAGUAGGACUAUCUAUGUUGGUCAUCGGCCGUGUCCUGCCAAUGAAGUUUUCAUCCCACCCAAGUUCUGCGAUAACAGGAUUGUGUCCUCGAAGUAUACAGUAUGGAACUUUCUACCAAAGAACCUGUUUGAACAAUUUAGAAGAAUUGCCAAUUUCUACUUCCUUAUCAUCUUCCUGGUGCAGGUGAUAGUGGAUACCCCCACCAGCCCAGUCACCAGUGGCCUACCAUUAUUUUUUGUGAUUACAGUAACUGCUAUCAAGCAGGGAUAUGAGGACUGGCUGCGGCACAAGGCUGACAAUGAGGUGAAUAAGUACCGAGUGACAGUGCUUGAAGAUGGCCGGAGGAUACAAAAAGAGAGUGAGAAGAUCAAGGUGGGAGAUGUUUUGGAGGUGGAGGAAGACGAGACCUUUCCCUGUGAUUUAAUAUUGCUGCAGUCUAGCCGAGAUGAUGGCACAUGUUUUGUUACCACAGCAAGUCUGGAUGGAGAAUCUAACCAUAAAACACACUACACAGUGCCAGACACAGAGCGCGAUGUGGAAUCUCUCAACGCCACCAUUGAGUGCGAACAGCCACAGCCUGACCUUUACAAGUUUGUCGGUCGUAUGCACAUCUACAAAAACAAUGAGGAGCCUUCGCUAAGGUCACUGGGCCCAGAAAACCUCCUGCUGAAAGGAGCAACUUUAAAGAACACUCAAAGCAUCUGUGGUGUUGCAGUUUACACCGGCAUGGAGACAAAGAUGGCUCUUAACUACCAAGGAAAAUCUCAGAAACGCUCUGUUGUGGAAAAGUCUAUCAAUGCCUUCCUUUUGGUUUACCUUUGCAUAUUGGUGAGCAAGGCCUUAGUGUGUACUACACUUAAAUAUGUAUGGCAGAGCAAGCCUGGACAGGAUGAGCCCUGGUACAACGAGAAAACUAAGAAAGAAAAGGAAACCAAUCUGUACCUUAACAUGUUCACCGACUUCCUGUCCUUCAUGGUGCUCUUCAACUUCAUCAUUCCAGUGUCCAUGUAUGUGACCGUUGAAAUGCAAAAGUUUUUGGGAUCGUUUUUCAUAUCCUGGGAUAAAGAUUUCUUUGACAGUGAAAUUGAGGAAGGGGCACUGGUCAACACCUCGGACCUCAAUGAAGAGCUGGGACAGGUGGAGUACGUCUUCACAGACAAGACGGGGACCCUAACUCAGAAUAACAUGGAGUUCAUAGAGUGCUGCAUUGAUGGCCACCAAUACAAGUACAGGGACGCGAGCUCGGAAGUGGACGGAUUCUGCGUUACAGAUGGACCUAUGAACACAGUACAACAGAAAGCUGGCAGGGAAAAGGAAGAGCUGUUUCUGCGUGCCCUGUGCCUGUGCCACACAGUCCAGGUAAAGGAGUCUACAGAGCAGGGUCACGGUCAAGAGGAUGGACGGAUAGACCAGGUGGAUGGAUUAAUGGUAGAUGGACAAGUGGUCCCUCCACUGCAGGAGCAGAGGGGCUUUAUAGCCUCCUCACCUGAUGAGAUUGCUUUGGUCCAGGGUGCAAUGAGGUACGGCUUCACAUUUCUUGGCCUCGAAAGUAAAACCAUGAAAAUUCUUAACAGGACAAAUGACGUUGAAAUGUAUGAAUUGCUUCAUGUGUUGAACUUUGACCCAGUCAGAAGGCGAAUGAGUGUAAUAGUCAGAUCAAUAUCAGGUGAAACACUGCUUUUUUGUAAGGGAGCCGACUCCUCCAUCUUCCCCCGAGUCAAACAGGAGGAAGUUGAAAAGAUACGCAUGCAUGUGGAACGUAAUGCAACAGAUGGUUACCGGACACUGUGUGUGGCCUACAAACAUCUUACCGCUGAGGAGUAUGACCAGGUAGAUUCAGGAUUAAGGGAAGCUAGACUGGCUCUGCAGGACAGAGAGGAGAAGCUCAUGGCUGUUUACAACCAAGUGGAGACUGGAAUGAAUCUAAUUGGAGCUACUGCUGUUGAAGAUCGUCUUCAAGAGGAGGCAGCAGAGACUAUGGAGGCUCUGCAGGGAGCAGGUAUUAAAGUGUGGGUCUUAACAGGAGACAAGAUGGAGACAGCCAAGUCCACCUGCUAUGCUUGCAGAUUGUUCAAGAGGAACACAGAGCUGUUGGAGCUAACAGUGCGUACUCUAGAGUCUCCAGGAAAAAGGCGUGAGGACCGACUGCAUGACCUCUUGCUCGAGUACCACAAGAAAACUGUACAGGAUGCACCACCAGCAAAGACACGUGUUGCCAGGAAUUGGUCCAGCCAGGAUUAUGGUUUUAUAGUAGAUGGAGCCACUCUGUCGAUGGUGCUCAACUCAUCCUCUGAAAACAACUUACAUGACUAUAAGGACCUAUUUCUGCAGAUAUGUCAAAACUGCACGUCUGUGCUCUGCUGCCGCAUGGCUCCCUUACAAAAGGCACAGAUAGUUAAAAUGGUGAAGAACUCCAAAGGCAGCCCAAUCACCCUUUCCAUUGGAGAUGGAGCCAAUGAUGUCAGCAUGAUUUUGGAAGCUCAUGUAGGCAUUGGCAUUAAGGGGAAAGAGGGUCGACAGGCGGUGAGGAACAGUGAUUAUGCCAUCCCCAAACUGAAGCACCUCAAGAAACUUUUGUUGGCACAUGGGCAUCUCUACUAUGUUCGCAUUGCACACCUGGUGCAGUAUUUCUUUUAUAAGAAUCUUUGCUUCAUCUUACCACAGUUUUUGUACCAGUUCUUCUGCGGCUGUUCCCAGCAACCCCUGUAUGAUGCGGCCUAUCUGACGAUGUACAACAUCUGCUUCACCUCUAUGCCCAUCCUGGCUUACAGUCUUUUCGAACAGCACAUUUCCAUUGAGAUGCUCCUGGAAAAUGCUACCCUCUACAGACAGAUCGGUAAGAAUGCCAUGUUACGGUGGGGACCAUUUCUCUACUGGACAUUACUGGGAGUCUUCCACGGCUUGGUCUUCUUCUUUGGUGUUUGGUUUUUGUUCAGCAACCCAGCCCUGCAGGAUAAUGGCCAGGCUUUUGGGAACUGGUCAUAUGGAACGAUUGUAUUCACCAUCCUUGUUUUCACUGUAACACUAAAGUUGGCGCUGGAUACACGGCACUGGACAUGGAUAAACCACUUUGUGAUAUGGGGUUCCCUGGCUUUCUAUGUGUUUUUCAGCUUCUUCUGGGGAGGAGUAAUAUGGCCUUUCCUGAGACAGCAACGGUUAUACUUUGUGUUUGCCAACAUGCUGAGCUCGGUGUCAGCCUGGCUGGUCAUCAUCGUGCUCAUCCUGCUCAGCCUAUUGCCAGAAAUCCUCUACGUGGUGCUCCGCAAGCCCCGCGGCCCUUACGCUCGACAGAAGAAGCUGGUUCAGUCAAGCGCAGGGGGCAUCCAGUCACCCCGGUCUUCAGCCAGGCCCCUGCUCAUGAGAACCUUUUCAGAUGAGUCCAAUACUGUCAGUUAAACAGCCUCUCGCAUUUUUGGACCUUGUAAGAGUGUCUGUGUGUGAAGUGUCUGUGGUGGUUUCAUCCUCUUUACCCAACAGUGUGAAACAGCAGGGCUGGCCUAUUUUGGCCCCAUUUUCUGAAAUAUUUGUGCUGUUUGUAACAAUGUGGUUUAAUCAUUUGUCGUGGUCACUGUCUUCUGUGUGUAUAUCCAAACCCUAAUUGGUCAUGGCUUUCUGCUUACCGUUUUAUUUGUGAGUGCAUUGCAUGACUCGGUGCAUGAUGUGAUGUUGGCAUAAGCUCUGCCCAAAUGCUACUUCAUGACAGGGGGUAGACGAAAAAAAUACCAAACACAAAAAAUGUAAAUACCGCGAAUAAUGAAAAGCAGCCAUUGUGUUGUGGUGUUGUGUUAAAUAUCCGUAGGUGUUUACAUUUUGUUUUUGUCCACCCCCUGGAUGAAGGACUGAAUGUUGCACAUAUCCAUCACUAUUGACCAUGGUCUCUGGUUGCGCAAUUUUAGAAAGAGACUGUAUGACAGCUUGCAGAGUUUAACUCACAUUUCUACUUUCCCUGUAGCCAUCAUUGGAAGCCCUCCUACAAACAUCAAGAUUGCAGCAGUAAUGCCACUAUCGUACAAGCAUCUAAAGGAGCGUGACUAAAAGGCAUCGAGGACUCAUAACAGUCACGUCAACCUCAUUCAGGGUCCCGUUCCAAGGAAGAACGUCUGCCAUCUGAAAGGAGGAGAUGGAAAAAAUCAGAAGAAACAUGUUCGGUCUUUGAGAGGGUUUAAAAGUCUUUUGACUUGUGUGUCUCCUUCUCCGUCCUUCACUGUCCAACCUCAAAAAGCAGCCACCUCUCAUGCAUGCUUACAGAGCAGUGCUCUACAUUCUUUUAUACAGUAUCUACUUAGACCCCAGGCAUGAGUUUUCUUUUCUUUUUUUUGUACCUUACUAUAGAAACGAAUGCAUACAUGGCUGCCUUGUCAGUAGCUCUAUUCAACUGCUGUUUUAACAAGCAGCUGAAAUAUCCACUUCAAGAAUGCUAAAUGUGCAUGAAAGAAGGCUCAAAAGAACACAACACAACUCCACCAACGUUUAGUCUCUGCAUUCUACAAGCUUUUUUACUAUAUUAUCAACAGUUUUAGAGGUUAUUCUACUUCAUUGUUAUUACACUUUUCAACUGUUAAGUUUUAAAUUGUUUAAAAUAUUUUAGUAAACACUCAUCAACGGAUCCAAAUCAUUUGGGAUGAAAAGUUACUGAAUGUGAUUUCAGCCCAGCUCAGAUCAGCUUAAAGACUGUUAAAAUGGUUUUCUGGUUGUAGAUGUUUAUUUGUAUCUAGUAAUGCCAUUUAUAUUGAAUACUAAGAUAUGAGGGGUCAGCAGAGGUCAUAUCAACCCUCAGUCCAAAAACUGUGUGUUUAUGUAAGGCUAAGAAAUGCAUUAGAGAUUUUAAGGAUAUUCUGGCAAUGAGACAUUGCUUGGAGCGUCACCUCCAAUAUUCCAACCUCAGAGAUAAUUCAAGAGAGUCAAAUUUGAAUGAGAAAGUUAAUAUAUGUGCAGUAGUAUAGAGAUAUAUUGUUAGCAUCUGCUCGAAGCCAAAAACAUGAACGCAAUGCGAUCAGAGUCUGUCCGCACUCACGUGCCCUAAAAGUGAUGUUUUGUUGUAUGGGUGUGACACAAGUGUACGGCAAAUGCACUGGGUGAGAAUAGCCACAAAUGCCUGUGUGUAAUGUAAACCAGGAUUACUUGAAACCUUACUGAUGUAGUUCUGUUAGACAUUUUCUGCACUAUUAAGGAAACUGGUUUCUGCAUUGUGUAUAUGGUCACCAAGGCACAUGAAUAUAUGCCUGAGCGCACACACGCACAUAUCAGAGAAGAACAUUACACGAACAGUAACCACCUUACACAUAAUGUCACACAUGUACUAGAGCCUAAAUGAGGUAUUUGUAUUCUUACCCAUUUACAAGUUUGCUUAUUUUGUCUCAGUCAGGCUGAAGUUGGGGAUUAAAGAAAACCAGCUCCAGAUCGGAAUAGUUAAUGCCACUGUGAGACUCUACUCUCUGGAGUGGACCGUUUGGCCCCUUGUUUCUUCCUUUAACUUGUGUGUAGUGCUUCAUACAUUCCAUUUAAACAUAAUUACAUGAUUUCAGACACUUUUGAUGAUGCUUUGGUUUGUUUCUUUUUUUUCCCUUUCUUUUCUUCACAAGUGUAUAUUGUGUACUUUGCAUAUUUAUUAAGUAAAUGUAAUUUGACUCACAAAUGUUAUAUUUUUUAUUACUUUCAGUUUUAAAUUGUGGAGCGUGUUCUGCUUUGUGUCAUUUUAGUUGGCCUGUUUUACUACAGCUCUGUUGUGAGACUGUGCCAGUGUCAUUAAAUAGUCAAUUUUAUCUACACAAAGGCAGGCAGACCCUCCUCUGUGAAGACAUUCAGCAUCCCAAAAUUAGCCUCGGACCCAAUGCCACUACUUUUUGUCUGGUGGUUUAACUGCAAGUUGAAAGCGAUCAUUGUUACUGAUUAUUCAUGUUUAGAUGCCAAUGUGUAUAGAAUAUGUCUUUAUGAUGAUUUUAACUACUGCUUCGCUGAUCUCUGCUCAAACAUGCUGUGUAUUAAAUCCCCCUGACUGUAACCUAAAUAGCUGUAAAAAAAAAAAAAAAAAAAAUCAUCUGCACAAUGGCAAAUGCAGCUGUUAGGCCUAAGGGACUUUAAGGAUUUAUAUGGAAAGCAGGGGUUUUGUUUUGUUUUUGUUUUGUUUGGUCACCUAAAGACCCGUGCCAGAGAUAACUGGAUGUAAGAUGAUUCACAGAAGGGGCUGCCUGCUUUGUUACCAGAUAUAAACCUUUAAGUUACAUAUAUAUGGAAAAAAAAGAAA